UGCUUAAACGCAAUACAUAUGGUGGCGAGUGGCGGACGGGUGAGUAAUACGUAGGAAUCUGCCCUAUAGUGGGGGAUAACCCGGGGAAACCCGGGCUAAUACCGCAUAAUCUCUAUGGAGCAAAGCGGGGGCCCUUCGGGCCUUGCGCUAUAGGAUGAGCCUACGUCGGAUUAGCUAGUUGGUGGGGUAAAGGCCUACCAAGGCGACGAUCCGUAGCUGGUCUGAGAGGACGGCCAGCCACACUGGGACUGAGACACGGCCCAGACUCCUACGGGAGGCAGCAGUGGGGAAUAUUGGACAAUGGGGGCAACCCUGAUCCAGCAAUGCCGCGUGUGUGAAGAAGGCCUUCGGGUUGUAAAGCACUUUUAGUGGGGAAGAAUGGCUCAAGGCUAAUAUCCUUGAGAGGUGACGUUACCCAAAGAAAAAGCACCGGCUAACUCUGUGCCAGCAGCCGCGGUAAUACAGAGGGUGCAAGCGUUAAUCGGAAUUAUUGGGCGUAAAGCGCAUGUAGGUCGAUAUUUAAGUCGGAUGUGAAAGCCCCGGGCUCAACCUGGGAAAGCCAUUCGAUACUGGAUAUCUAGAGUAUGGUAGAGGGAAGUGGAAUUUCCGGUGUAGCGGUGAAAUGCGUAGAUAUCUGAAGGAACACCAGUGG
rnacentral:rRNA from 1 species